CCUCAUGAUGAAAACUCUGUCCAGUUCUGCUACUGAAUGCAAGUGGUGACAGUUCAUAUUCUGAAGGUG